rnacentral:rRNA from 1 species
CUGGCUCAGGAUGAACGCUAGCGGCAGGCUUAACACAUGCAAGUCGAGGGGCAACGCGAGUAGCAAUACUUGGCGGCGACCGGCGCAAGGGUGCGUAACGCGUGAGCAACAUGCCCGUAUCAGGGGGAUAAUCCAGGGAAACUUGGUCUAAUACCCCAUAGUAAUUUUUGUAAGGCAUCUUAUAAGAUUUAAAGCUUUGGUGGAUACGGAUUGGCUCGCGUGACAUUAGCUGGAUGGUAAGGUAACGGCUUACCAUGGCUAUGAUGUCUAGGGGUUCUGAGAGGAAGGUCCCCCACACUGGAACUGAGACACGGUCCAGACUCCUACGGGAGGCAGCAGUGAGGAAUAUUGGUCAAUGGACGAGAGUCUGAACCAGCCAAGUCGCGUGCAGGAAGAAAUGUCCUAUGGAUUGUAAACUGCUUUUGCAGGGGAAUAAAGUGCAUCACGUGUGAUGUUUUGUAUGUACUCUGCGAAUAAGGAUCGGCUAACUCCGUGCCAGCCGCCGC